rnacentral:rRNA from 1 species
CAGUCGCCGCGGUAAUACGAAGGGGGCUAGCGUUGUUCGGAAUUACUGGGCGUAAAGCGCACGUAGGCGGAUAUUUAAGUCAGGGGUGAGAUCCCAGAGCUCAACUCUGGAACUGCCUUUGAUACUGGGUAUCUUGAGUAUGGAAGAGGUGAGUGGAAUUCCGAGUGUAGAGGUGAAAUUCGUAGAUAUUCGGAGGAACACCAGUGGCGAAGGCGGCUCACUGGUCCAUUACUGACGCUGAGGUGCGAAAGCGUGGGGAGCAAACAGGAUUAGAUACCCGUGUAGUCCCUGUCUCUUAUAC